GGGCAGGUGGAUGGAUAUGGUGGAUGGAUGGAAAGAUGAAUGGAUGGACAGUUAGAGUAGUGAGUGAGUAGAUGGGUGGGUGGACAGAGUAGUGAGUGAGUAGAUGGAUGGGUGAACAGUUAGAGUAGUGAGUGAGUAGAUGGAUGGGUGGACAGUUAGAUGAGUGAGAAGAUGGAUGGGUGAACAGUUAGAGUAGUGAGUGAGUGGAUGGAUGGGUGGACAGUUAGAGUAGUGAGUGAGUAGAUGGAUGGGUGGACAGAGUAGUGAGUGAGAAGAUGGAUGUGUGGACAGAGUAGUGAGUGAGAAGAUGGAUGGGUGAACAGUUAGAGUAGUGAGUGAGUAGAUGGAUGGGUGGACAGUUAGAGUAGUGAGUGAGUAGAUGGAUGGGUGGACAGUUAGAGUAGUGAGUGAGUAGAUGGAUGGGUGGACAGUUAGAGUAGUGAGUGAGUAGAUGGAUGGCUGGACAGUUAGAGUAGUGAGUGAGUAGAUGGAUGGGUGGACAGUUAGAGUAGUGAGUGAGUAGAUGGAUGGCUGGACAGUGACAUGCAGAGGCAGG
rnacentral:lncRNA from 1 species